CGCAUCUGUGCAUGCAGCAUAUCAAUAAGCGGAGGAAAAGAAACUAACAAGGAUUCCCCUAGUAACGGCGAGUGAAGCGGGAAGAGCUCAAAUUUGAAAUCUUAAAGGGUUUCCCUUUACGAAUUGUAGUUUAAGGAAGUGUUUUCUGUUGAGGUUUUGGUAAAAGUUCUUUGGAAUAGGGACAUCAUAGAGGGUGAGAAUCCCGUAUUUGACCUUUACUUUCAACUUUGUGAUACACUUUCAAAGAGUCGGAUUGUUUGGGAAUGCAGUCCAAAAUGGGUGGUAAAUUUCAUCUAAAGCUAAAUAUUGGCGAGAGACCGAUAGCGAACAAGUACCGUGAGGGAAAGAUGAAAAGAACUUUGAAAAGAGAGUUAAACAGUACGUGAAAUUGUCAAAAGGGAAGCGUUUGACACCAGUGUUGUUUUUCUGAAAAUCAAUUAAAGAACUGUUUAUGCUAAGUUGUUUAGACUUUAUCAGCUAACUGUUUAGUUUUGAGCUUUUCUUUAAUGCACCUUUCAGUUAACAAGUCAACAUCAAUUUCUUUUGCUGUAAAAAGCUUGAGGAAGGUGGCUUGAGAUUCGUCUUAAGUGUUUAUAGCCUCUUGCCUAUGCAGUCGGAGAGAUUGAGGUCUGCAGCGUAGAUCCUUCGGGGCUAAAUGCAUUUGUGCUAAGUUAUAACAUUUUAUAGACAACUUGUUGACUAUGAUUUGUCUUGUAGCUUACUCGCUUAUGUUAUUUUACCUACGCUUAGGAUGUUGAGCGCAUGUCUCUCUC
rnacentral:rRNA from 1 species